AUUGAACGCUGGCGGCACGCCUUACACAUGCAAGUCGAACGGUAACAGGUCUUCGGACGCUGACGAGUGGCGAACGGGUGAGUAAUACAUCGGAACGUGCCCAGUCGUGGGGAUAACUAAUCGAAAAGGUAGCUAAUACCGCAUACGAACUGAGGAUGAAAGCGGGGGACCUUCGGGCCUCGCGCGAUUGGAGCGGCCGAUGGCAGAUUAGGUAGUUGGUGGGAUAAAAGCUUACCAAGCCGACGAUCUGUAGCUGGUCUGAGAGGACGACCAGCCACACUGGGACUGAGACACGGCCCAGACUCCUACGGGAGGCAGCAGUGGGGAAUUUUGGACAAUGGGCGAAAGCCUGAUCCAGCAAUGCCGCGUGCAGGAUGAAGGCCUUCGGGUUGUAAACUGCUUUUGUACGGAACGAAAAAGCUUCUCCUAAUACGAGAGGCCCAUGACGGUACCGUAAGAAUAAGCACCGGCUAACUACGUGCCAGCCGCCGCGGUAACAC
rnacentral:rRNA from 1 species